UAACAUAUCCAACACAUAUUACCAAUAGUCAUGAACACAUAUAUAUCCAACACAUAUUACCAAUAGUAGCAAGUUUCAUCCAUACAUAUACAUAGUUCCAUCAAUAUUACACAGUUUCAUCCAUAGGUAGCAAGUUUCACAAAGUCAAAACUAUCUUAUUACUAAGAUCUUCUCUGGAUCUUCUUCUUUUCUUCCAACCUGCAUAACAAAAACACUUGGUGAAAUGCAAUGUUGUAGGAGCCAGCACUUCAGAUCAAGACAAUCUUAAAUUAGUGUAAAGUUAUGACAGAUCCAUGCAUGUGUACAUAAAGCAAUUAACCAUAGUUGUACGUCCUAGAUACUCUAGCAAAUACUCCUACUCUAUUGCAAUACAGAAGAACAUUGUGCUGCUGUAGUAAGUAGAGGAGUAGGAACAACAUGCUGCCUGUAGGAAACUGAUCCAAGGACGCACCUGGUGGCCGAUGGGCUUGGCUGGCGCUACUCCGGCGAGGGGCGUCACUCUGGCAAGGAGGAGGCCCGUGCAGCGAGUAGGAGGCCCGUGCGGCGAGGAGGAUGCUACUCCCAAGACUCCCAUGCAUGUCGUCGUCAAGAUUUACCUAAAACAUAUAAGCAACAAGGAUGAGUACAAAGACUCAGCAAGUUCAUAAAGGAAUAAUAAACAGUACUCAUAUCAAUAUACCAAGACUCGGUUAACACCAUACACUCAUUAGUGUUCAACACAUAUAAUGGUGCCCUACAUGCCUACAUGCUCAUCUCAUUUCAUUCCGUAUACCGGUAUAGCUUGAGUGGACGCCCGUCGACAUCCACUCACUCCAAUAUGUGGAGGUUGCCUCCAAAGUAGGUCGCAACCCAACAAUGAAGGUCUCAAUGUUCCCACCAAGGUAGUGCACGCCUUCAUUCACUAUCAUCAUGAGUGCAAGUAUGCAAAUGCAAGCAUAGUACUUGAAUCAACAUAUCAUGGUCAUCGUCAUCGCCAUCAUAAUAAACAUCAUUGACAUGGAAGAUAUCAUAAAUAAAAAUGGAAUGUAGAGAUUAUGCAAGUCAUUAUCCCGUUGUGAACUUGCCUCAACCGCGGGGCACAAAUUGUGAGGCAAACGGUUCCGAACUCGAAGUACCCACACUUGUCAUCAAGCAUAUAUCUCAGUCACAGCAAAGCAUGGUCUCAACACAUAAGAAUAUAUAAUUUAGUGACGCUCCUACGCACAAGACCCCAGCUCAUACGUACGUUAUCACAUUAUAAGUCCUCAUAUCAUCAACGAUGACAAAAUCUUAGAGUAUAAGUCUAGUUACAAUCACCAAGUCAAACGUAAAAUUCUGUCCAACAUAGUACAGUCAUCUUAAUAAUUCCAUAGGAUUUAGUGUAUAACAUGAAAUCUAACAAAUAAUAUAUGUUUAAGCAUCUGCAGAAUAUCCUCUACAAUUUUUGUGUUGUGACUUUAAUUUAAUUAAACCUCUAGCAUGGCCUAAACUGCCAUACAACAAAUUCUGCACCCCAGGAACAUAAAUUUCGGGACAGAAAACUAAAAUGAUGGCUGCUCUCAAACCGUACAUCCAAACGAAGCAAAUAAGUACUCUACGGAAACCUUGGGACUUUAUCUAAAACUUAUGUAAAGGGGCCAACUCUAAAUUCUAAGCAUAGCUAACUCAUUUUUUAGAUAGAAGCUUGCUGUCCAGAACUGUCAGGCACUGCAGUUUUUAACUGAACCAAGUUUAGUGAUGUACAGCAAGGGAAAACCAGUGUACAAGAGCAUUUCUAAUCCUCACGUGUAAGAUAAAACAGAAUUAUAACUUGCAAACUAACUCCUCUCCCCAGGUUUAAUUGCUUACACGCAUAUAGACAUGUUCGUCAAGCUGUUGGCAUACCUGAACAGGCAAACAGGCCACAUCAAACAAUCCAGCCAAGAUGCUAACCCACCUACAGGAACUAUGUUGCUCCAGCGCUAAAGAUCGAACCAAGAGUGACACAAGGAGUUGGAGAAGCAACAGACCGGGGGUGGGCCGAUGGCCAGCAGCAUCCCGUGCUCCACCGGCAGCAGCGGCGGCCACGACGACGCAAGGAGCAGGGGAGCGGGAGCAGCCUCCACACGGCAGCGACCAUGACGAGAAGCAUUCAUUCAACGCCAGAUUCUGCAUCAUGUGCUACUAUUGACAUUCAUUCAACUCAGUACAGUAGAGUAGAGAUAACCCAGGGAGUUCCCAUUGAGCAUCUCAUUGGAUGAAGUUGAACUGAACAAACAUGGCAGAGAAACAAAACAAAACAAAAAUACGCGAGGGUCAGGUUCUUGUUCUCACUCACCAUUGGCGGUAGCAAUCGAUGCACUUAUCGUGGAUGCAGCACAGCCCUGCUGUUUAACUCCAUGCAGAUCCCACACUCCUCUUCUAUCUCGGCGUCGACCUCAGAGACCAGCCUCGUACUACC
rnacentral:lncRNA from 1 species